GCAAAAUGUAGCUUAAUUAAAGCCCUUCGCUUACACCGAAAAAACAUCUGUUUGGAUUAGAUUAUUUUGA
rnacentral:tRNA from 1 species